rnacentral:rRNA from 1 species
GUGUCAGCCGCCGCGGUAAUACGAACUGUGCGAACGUUAUUCGGAAUCACUGGGCUUAAAGGGUGCGUAGGCGGCGCUGUAAGUCAGGUGUGAAAGCCCUCGGCUCAACCGAGGAAUUGCGCUUGAAACUGCAGUGCUUGAGUGAGGUAGGGGUGCAUGGAACUUCCGGUGGAGCGGUGAAAUGUGUAGAUAUCGGAAGGAACGCCGGCGGCGAAAGCGGUGCACUGGGCCUUGUCUGACGCUGAGGCACGAAAGCUAGGGUAGCGAACGGGAUUAGAUACCCCGGUAGUCCUAGCCGUAAACACUGAGCACUGGAGGGGAGGGGUUUCGGCCUUUCCCCUCGCAGCGAAAGCGUUAAGUGCUCCGCCUGGGGAGUAUGGUCGCAAGGCUGAAACUCAAAGGAAUUGGCGG